AUACGGAGGAUGCAAGCGUUAUCCGGAUUUAUUGGGUUUAAAGGGUGCGUAGGCGGUUUGCUAAGCGGGAGGUGAAAUGCCGGCGCUCAACGUCGGAAGUGCCUCCCGAACUGGUGGACUUGAAUGACUCUGCCGUGGGCGGAAUGUGUAGUGUAGCGGUGAAAUGCUUAGAGAUUAGACAGAACACCGAUUGCGAAGGCAUCUCACUAAGGGGUGAUUGACGCUGAGGCUCGAAAGCGCGGGGAUCAAACAGGAUUAGAUUCCCUGGUAGGGCUCGCAGUAAACGAUUAUGGCUAACCGCUGGGCUUAUCAGUUCAAUUGCCAAGCGAAAGCGAUCAGCCAUCCACCUGGGUAGUACGGCCGCAAGGUUGAGACUCAAAUGAAUUGACGGGC
rnacentral:rRNA from 1 species